rnacentral:rRNA from 1 species
GACGAACGCUGGCGGCGUGCUUAACACAUGCAAGUCGAACGGAAAGGCCUGCUUUCCCUUGUGGAUUGCGGGUACUCGAGUGGCGAACGGGUGAGUAACACGUGAGUGAUCUGCCCCCAACUUGGGUAUAAGCCUGGGAAACUGGGUCUAAUUCCCGAUAGGACUGCAGGGUGGUGCCUGUGGUGGAAAACGAUUUUUUAGUGGUUGGGGAUGAGCUCGCGGCCUAUCAGCUUGUUGGUGGGGUAAUGGCCUACCAAGGCGGCGACGGGUAGCCGGCCUGAGAGGGUGGACGGCCACAUUGGGACUGGGAUACGGCCCAGACUCCUACGGGAGGCAGCAGUGGGGAAUAUUGCACAAUGGGAGGAAGCCUGAUGCAGCGACGCCGCGUGGGGGAUGACGGCCUUCGGGUUGUAAACUCCUUUCGACCGCGAGGAAGCCACCUGGUUGGAAGGGUGGUGACGGUAGUGGUAGAAGAAGCACCGGCUAACUACGUG